rnacentral:rRNA from 1 species
GAUGAACGCUGGCGGCGUGCCUAAUACAUGCAAGUAGAACGCUGAAGGAAGGAGCUUGCUCUUUCCGGAUGAGUUGCGAACGGGUGAGUAACGCGUAGGUAACCUGCCUGGUAGCGGGGGAUAACUAUUGGAAACGAUAGCUAAUACCGCAUAACAGUAGAUGUUGCAUGAUAUCUACUUAAAAGGUGCAAUUGCACCACUACCAGAUGGACCUGCGUUGUAUUAGCUAGUUGGUGAGGUAACGGCUCACCAAGGCGACGAUACAUAGCCGACCUGAGAGGGUGAUCGGCCACACUGGGACUGAGACACGGCCCAGACUCCUACGGGAGGCAGCAGUAGGGAAUCUUCGGCAAUGGACGGAAGUCUGACCGAGCAACGCCGCGGGAGUGAAGAAGGUUUUCGGAUCGUAAAGCUCUGUUGUAAGAGAAGAACAAGUGUGAGAGUGGAAAGUUCACACUGUGACGGUAGCUUACCAGAAAGGGACGGCUAACUACGUG